rnacentral:rRNA from 1 species
AUUGAACGCUGGCGGAAUGCUUUACACAUGCAAGUCGAACGGUAGAGGGGGCAACCCCUCGAGAGUGGCGAACGGGUGAGUAAUAUAUCGGAACGUGCCCAGUCGUGGGGGAUAACGUAGCGAAAGUUACGCUAAUACCGCAUACGAUCUAAGGAUGAAAGCGGGGGAUCGACAGACCUAGCGCGAUUGGAGCGGCCGAUAUCAGAUUAGGUAGUUGGUGGGGUAAAGGCUCACCAAGCCAACGAUCUGUAGCUGGUCUGAGAGGACGACCAGCCACACUGGAACUGAGACACGGUCCAGACUCCUACGGGAGGCAGCAGUGGGGAAUUUUGGACAAUGGACGCAAGUCUGAUCCAGCCAUUCCGCGUGCAGGAUGAAGGCCCUCGGGUUGUAAACUGCUUUUGUACGGAACGAAAAGGUCUCUCUUAAUACGGGGGACUCAUGACGGUACCGUAAGAAUAAGCACCGGCUAACUACGUGCCAGACGCCGCGGUAA